GACAUUAGCUAAUUAUUGAUCCCAACUCACUGGAGUUGUUCUUCUCUUAUCUACCUUUUGUGCUUCUGUUCUAUAUCUUAUAUCCUAUAUAGUGCCAAACACUGCACUCGUAGGCCUAAAUUUGUUCAAUAUAUAAAUGUGCAGAGUUUUGAAGCUUUGAACCCCAGAGCCGUUGCUGUUGUGAUAGACCCCAUCCAGAAGAGGACGAUCGAUUUUCGAUUUUGUAGGAGAGCUGUUAAACCUCUCCGGCUUCGCCACUUUCGUUUCCGUUUCUGCGCUUUGUUUGGUGCCGAAUUUUCUGCACAUUUUACCAAUUCUGAACGAAAAUUCCCUUUCUGUUUUGCCGACUGUAGGGCUGUUGAAUCCGUAUGGGCUAUGGUCGCCGAGGCACUCGCAGUCGGACGUGUCUUCAUCGGAGAUGGAGUUUGGUACAGCGCGCCAGUACGACACCACCGACCUUGAUGAAGCACUUCAAAGAGAGGUAAGUGCUUGAGGCUGGCUGCAUAAUAGCAGGUUUGUUUUCAUUUUUCAAACACAAACAUGUAUCCUUUUUGAAGCAAACACAUUUGAUCGAUGUCUUGUGUGGGUAUCAUGCACUUUUUGCGUGGGUUCCACCUCCACUGCGCGGGCUGUAUAUAGAGCCGCCCACCUGCCCCACACCAUGUCGUCACCGAGUUGUGAGUGGGGCAUCCGUCGCCUCUAAUCCAAAUAAGGAGGAGCUGCGGCCAGACAUGGGCGGCAGAGUAGUAUCUGGAUCCGCUGAACACCCACCGGUGGUAUCUAGCUUUCCUAUCAAUCAGUGGCUUUCAAAGGUACACUCCUAUUGUGUGCGUACUAAUUUUUAAUUUAUUAUUGUUCACUCUCGCUUUGUUUUCUUGUUGUUGAUGCAUCUCCUCUCGUACUCUACUGCAUUCAUUGAAGCACUUUGCACUUUCAUCAGGACGACUCAGAGAGUGUCUCGCUCAUGUGUUUAUAAUGGCCAAAUAGUCUCGAAUGUCUGGCCAUGUUUGACGCAUUCAUGUAUUUUGGGCAUUUUGUCAAACGAGUUCACAUCAUUAGGCAUUGUGUCUUGGGUAUUACUCCAUUAUGAAAUCGUGUUUGUACCGAAAAUUAAAAUUUGUAGGCUGCAUCAUUUACUCAUUUCUGGAGUGGGAACCUGUGAGAGUAAUUUGUUCUGACAAUGUUGCUAUUCCUAUUUGCUAAUUAAGGCUACUAGGGUUAAAUAUUAUGGAUCACAUUUAUUGUUCUUUUUUAGGUACCCUGAAGACUUCAUUUAUGUUUUUAAUGAACGAUAACUAAUUCACUGCGCCAUUUGCACACAAUGUUUUGCUAUCAUUGUCACAUACUAGCUCCCUGUUUUGGGAUAUUUCUUAAAAGUUUUAGGUGUUAACAUUUCUCCAACAUAGAAAAAGUUUUAGGUGUUAGCAUUACCUAAAUAUGGAUUUAGGUAAUUCUUCAUGUCGCUAUUACAAUCAUUGGUCAAACUUAUUGUUCUGAAUUCCUCGUGAGUCAUCUGUAUCUACAGAAAAGUUAUGUCCAUAGAUGAAUAUGCAUCAUAUUAUAAAGAUAUAGACCCCGUGGCUCCUUUCAAGACUUGAAAAGUUGGGCAAACAGAUAGUUACAUGUCUACCAAAGUGCACCCAUCAUAUGAUGUUUAUGUAGAGCGAGUUAAUAGAGUAUUUGUUGUCAGCGAUCCUGUUGACUGGGGAAGAGAUCUACAUGUACUUCUUUCAUGCCCGGGCCUCACUAAUAGAAAACUUUCUUGGGUUGCAUUUGUUUGAUAUUCAUCGAAUAUCUUAAUGAGUGACCCAUAAACACCUUUUCCUCUAAAGUGCAUUUGUUUCAUGUGAAAUUGUGAUUACUUCCUAUUGAUAUACAUAAGUUCAAUAAUCUGAUUUUUUUUAAAACAAUACGAAAGGUACUCUGUUAUCUCGUCUACUCAUGAACUUCCUGGGACUGAAAUAGUGGGUCGUAUUGAUGCCUUUAUUGCUGUGAUGGCACAUACACAUGUAAUUGCAAAUGGCCCUAUCAGCUGAUGUUCUUGCUGCUGCCAACACAACAACAGAAGUUGCAAUGAGGCUUGUGAGACCUGAGACGAAGUGUCUAGGAUGAAGUUUCAGAUAUGUCAGCUGAUUUCAGUUUCAGAGCUGCAGAUUUUAGUUUCAAAGCUGCAGAUUUCAGUACUAGAGCUGCCAAAUUUCAGUUUUAGAGUUGCAAAUUCCAUUUUUAGAGCUACACUAUGAAUCCACACUUGAUUCUAUUUUCUUUUCAAUUUCAGAGCUGCAAGAUUUCUACAGAAUGUGAAGACUAUGCUAUCAAAAAAAGCUUUUCUAAUUUACCUAGGAUGAAGUUCAGGAUUGUUUAGGAUGAAUCAUGUGUUUAUCUAUCUUCAAUAAUAUUUGUACACGCAUUAAGCGGUGAUUAUUUUAUG